rnacentral:lncRNA from 1 species
CCUAAUUUCCAAAAAUUUGAACCCUAAUUAUUCUGUCUGAAAACCUAAUCGGGAUAUUAAAACCCUAAGUGGGAAGCUUGAAGUGAAGUAUAGAGUUUCUAUGUAAUUAAUUGUAAAUAUAAUUAGGGAUAACCCUAAUUGAUUAAUUGGAAAGCCCUAAUUUCAAAUAUAGAAAACCCUGACAUGCAAUUAGAGAAAACCUAAUUAUUAACUUAUAGAGUUAAUAUUAAUUAGGAAGCCUUAACCCUAAUUAGCAAGCUUGAAUGAGACUAGUAAACUUUAUUGUAAUUAGGAAACCCUAAUCUAAAUUAGGAAAACCUAAUUUCUAAAUUUGAAAGAUCAUUUUCUAUGUAAAAUCCUAAUUAGUGGGUUAUAAACUCUAAUGACCAAUUAUGAUCCUAAUUGCUAAAUUAGCAAAUUUAAUUAGGAAAUAAUAAUCCUAAUUGACAAG